UGGAUGCAUUGUGUGUUGUAAGCUUUUCGUGGCGCUAGAUGUCAGACAGAUGCAAAUGGCAAAUACAUACGAAAGUGUAAAACGUGUAUGGCGAACGUUUGUUUUUCUGUCAUUAUAGAUGCUAGUUUGGUAAAAGUACACACUGAGUGCUUCAAAUCAUUCAGAAGAGAUGCUGUUUUUAAGGGCAAUUUAUUAAAGAAGACCUGACAUGGAUGACUUCCAGUGAGAAACGACUGCUAAUACUUAUAUAAAUUCAUUACAGAAGGACCCUACCAGACUAUAUUUGAAUACGGCAUACCCAUGAAUUCUGAACUGUUAUUCCUUAACCCAGUUUGGAGGAUAAGAGCUUACCAACUAGUUAUAAAUAUGCUGAGGCGAUGUAUUGCAAAAUAGCCAACAUACAACAAUUAAAGGAUAAAUGCAGACUACAUCCUGAUGAAGAUAUGGAUGACCCUCUGUCUGGUCAACAGGAGUUUAAAUAUGGAUGGGACAGUGAUGUGGCAGCUCUUCCCUGGCUCAUUCACCUCUUGCCUUCAUUUGUGAAAGAAGGAAAGACUGGAGAGGGUCAAUGUGCAACUGAAGCUACUGAUUGUGCUGUGUGAUGAGCAUCAAUCCAUGCUGUGAGGUGGAUGGAUCAGCACAGCCCUGCCUGCUCUGCGUUGGGAACAAAAGUUGCAUCCAGAGUUUUUGCAUCAUUCUGGACCAAAAAGCCAUUCCCUCCAUGAUGAAGACCACUGAUGCAGCCUUCCACUACAUCAUGAGUAAAACAACUACAGAACUUAAUACCAGGUUGGAACGUAUUUAAAAAAAUGAAACGUUGUUUGAAUUGAAAUGUCUGUUUUGUUAUGGAAAAAUCUUUAGUAUUGUGAAGGAUAAGCAUUUCUGCCUGCCAGUAAGGUAAUUGCAGUGUAUUUUAAUAGUCAAGUUUUGAGUAGGGUGGCAAAUUUUUUUAACUCUUAUUUGAUUUAUUAAAGACCUUAUAAUAAGUGGUUUUCAUGUCACUGCGCUGUGGUAUAAGAUAACU